CACAAGCCAAGUUUCCGUCAGACUUUUACAGUAAAUUUCUUGCAGAAACACUGACUGAACGGCGGAAUAGAUCUCUUAAUGCUGCCUAUUUCAGCAACAGUAUGUGUCUCAUCAACAUAUUCUUUAAUGAACUGAGUCGGCAAACAAACACUCAACAAGAAGCUUAUGGGUUUUAUAGUCUUCUUUGUGACAUCGGUGGCUCUCUUGGUAUGUGGAUAGGAGGGAGUAUUCUUACCCUCUGCGAGGUUCUCGACAUCAUUGGUUAUUCUAUACACAAGGGAAGAUCGUCUUAAAGCGACACUGAACUUGACUGAAGUGAUGAACUUUCUGCCCUAGCAUACUGUUCAGACCCAUCUAUACACAGAGUUUGGCCAACCCGGUUCGAGUUGUACACAAUAUGGCGACUACUGCUUUAUUGGGCAAGCACAAAACAAAAGAAUAUACGCCAUGUUGUGACCCAGGGAAACCAAGUUGGCUAAACUUUGUAUAUAGAUGGCUCUGUUACUGUUCAUUGCACAGCGUCAUCUCAUGAUCAACUUGCCAACAGUGCGAAACCCAAUACCUAAUUUCCCAUUCGCAGACACAUGACUCGACGCGAAAACAGUGUAGCUAGGGAAGCAGCGAAUUACGGGCUCAUAAUACUGCUGCAACUUAACUGAGAUGGCGCUAUAGGGGAUUUUGAAGUAGUACGAUUGUUUUCAUAUACAUACACAUGUAUAACCAGAAAACUG